rnacentral:lncRNA from 1 species
AAGAAUGGAGCUUGUGCAUAAAUAGGGCAAGCUCUUGAAGAUCUUAAGAAGAGUUCUAUGAAGCUUCAGAAAGUGAUGAGAAGCUGAUACAAGGUUGGGACAAUGGCUAAGAAGAGUUCAUAUAGAAGUGGAGUAGCCUUUGGAUGAGUUUAGGAGAGAAAGGUUGAUGGUACAAAGACAGGGACGGCCAUGUACAGCCGGCUGUACGGAUGGUACGGCCCGGUAAGGACAUGGUCGAUCCAAAAGAGUUUCUAUCAAGUCUUGGGAUGUUUUGGAGUUGUGCAAAGAUAGGGCGCAAUGUGAGAGAAGCAACCCUAAUCUGUACACUCAGCUGAUGAAGACUUGUGAUGCAAGGCAUGAGGAAGGCUUAGGGAACAAACGGGCAAGAGAGCAAAGAUCCUAAAGGCAUAUACUGUCCGAGAUGGUUUAGGAAGUAACCAGGAAGGUGCUGUGCUCUCUUGACCGUUUAUGGAUAAGGUUUCUUAUCCAUACAGCCUAUUCAAAUUCAAAUGUGCAAGCUGGCGUGAGCUGUAAAGUAAAGGCAAAGAAGAGAUCAUAUAUCUGGCCAAAGGAGAGGGAAGAUACAUGGAGCUUUAAGUAAAGCAAUCAGGCGCCAGCAAGGGAGAACCA